rnacentral:lncRNA from 1 species
CUUCAGAUGUUUCUUGUGGGUUUCUCCGUGGGCUGCUUUACAACCAAAUGGGCCGACCUUUUUUCAAAAAGAGUCAUUGCAUCAACACGCAGCAGCAAGAAUGCGUUAACUAACUCAUUAAAAUUCUUUGUCCCACAUCGAGUGAUCAAAAGAAAUAAAUAUGCCUGGUACGGGUUUAAAAGCAGAGCUGCAACAAGAUACUAAUCAUACCUUUCUCGGCCUUUUGGCUAAGAUCAAGUGUAGUAUCUGUUCUUAUCAGUUUAAUAUCUGAUAUGUGGAUCAUCGAUCCACACGAUAUUAAAUUAAUAUUUAAAGGGGAGGGCUCAAUGCAGUAGCUUGCUACUGCGAGCCCUGAGCGUCGCCCAUGCGUUGCACUACAGCACGGGCCUGGCGCACCCCCCACCAACUCUUAUGUUUCAAAUUUUGGAGGUUUGUCAGGAUUUGGAUUGAUUCUUAUUUGUCUUAAUUGUCUGUUAAAUAAAUUGUCGAUUGUUAAAUUAAUUUCUUUUUUAGUCUUUGCUAUGAACGCGCAUCGAUAAUUUUAUCACCGAAGGAAGAACAGCCAGAACCUAGACAAUCAUACUCGAAGGUUUAUAUAUGUCAUGAGCAUGUUUGAAAACUCAAGAAAACUCAAAGAAGUGGAAUCUUGUAUCAAAUGAUAUUGAGUUUUUUAAUUUGAGGCUGUUCAGGGAAUCAUUUGAAAGACCCAAGUCACCAAAAUUUAUUCACUAUCCCCCAUCAUCAUUUCAAUAUUCUGUGACUAGAACACUGGUUUUCGGUCUCGACCUCCUUGCAAGUGUAGAGAUGAGUCUUAAAAUAUUUCUGAUAGUCUAAUAUUUCAGUUCGCAUCUCAACCUUAGCAUGGUGGUGUAUCAUAAACAAUUAAUAUCUGCAGAAAAGGACGAAAGGGUAGUCACGUACAACUUCUAUGCACAUCCCAAUGUAAACCCACAAGCUGGAUUUUUAUUUAUUUAUUUAUUCCUUUUUUCUUUUUCUUUUUUUUGGGUGCUUUGAUGAUGGUAGUUCUUUUUCCAUUUAUCAAUCCAAUUAACUGCGUUUCUCUCAUAUUUCCAUUUUCUUCCAAAGCUUUUUUAGAUUAUUCAGCCAGGCUGAAUAAAUUAUAUAAACAUAAGGUCAUAGGCCGUACCUGAAAUCACCAUCUUCAGAAACAAAUAAAUUAAUAAGGAUAUGAAUAUAUGUGCAAUAACGCAUCAAAAACUCUUAACUCAACACUGAAUCCUAAUAUAAAGAAAACAAUAAAUCUUUUAUCUUUCCUUAUUAAAGAUAACAAUCCUGGUUAUAUAUUAACCGCGCAACAAAAACUUCUAAAGCUCUCUGUAUCCUGUAGCGUUUAGUCUAUAUUUCUUCAGUUGAAGAUCAGAAUGGAGGAAAAGCCAGAGCAGCCGAAGCCACCAUCAUCAUCAUCAAAUUGGUCUGACAUCUGUUUGUUCUUCGUGGCGUAGGAUUCUAAUGGAUUAUAUCCCAACAUCCGAAGCAAUUACUUGGCUCAUUUUCCCUUCAAACCUCCACCCAGAUGGUGCUUCUGAUGGCUGCCGCUUCUAUAGUCUCGACGAGAGAAAGUUUUACUUUCAGAAAAACAGUGUGUUCAAGGACUUUGGGAAGAGGCAUUUGUAUUGGUUCAUCUCACGGAUGGCUCGUAGUCUUAGAUGAAACAGCCAAUCCUUUUCUUUUGAAUCCCUUCUCUUGUAUCCAGAUUCUCCUUCCUCCCCUGGAAACUCUUCCGGAUGUUGUGUCCUCUUCCGAAUCGGGUUAGAAAAGAUUGCCAAGUAACCAUUGCCCUGAGUGACCGAUUUGUUAUUAUUUUUGUCAGCAUUAUGUCUAAAGCUGAUUGGUUUGUCAAAGAUACAGAGCUGACAGAGAGAAGCAUUAAGGCUAAGGGAAGAUCAUCAUAAAAGAGGUCAAUAUGCACUUGCUGUUGCUAAAGAGUUCAUUUGGCUCGCAAGGAAAGCAAAGGAGCAACAACAAUUUAUUUGUUUAGUAUUUUUCUUGAUAGAACCCAGGGGUAUCACAGUUCUGUUAGGUUUUUGGGUAAUGAGACGAGGAAUGAUUUUCAUUAUAUUUGCUUCACUACAACUAGUAGAAGAAGGGAUUACCGAGCAAUCUCACAACAGGCUAGCGAUGUUCUCUUCAUUAACUACAAGGCUGGUUGUUUACUCUGCAAGGCAAGCUACGCCCAUGGCUUUGCGUUAGGCUUCUCUUCAGAUGUUUCUUGUGGGUUUCUCCGUGGGCUGCUUUACAACCAAAUGGGCCGACCUUUUUUUCCAAAAAGAGUUAGAACUAUUGAUACCCUCCAACCACCGCUUACCCACUAAAUAAUUGAAAUAAAUAGUACUUUUUUUUCAACCACCUUAAUUUCUUAAAUAAAUUUGAUGUUGUCUUCUUCCAAAAUAAAAUCCCUCAUUUUCUUGCAUCAGCACGCAGUAGCAAGAAUGCAAGAAUGUCCUUUCAUCUUGAUGUAUUUUAUUAACUAACUCAUUAAAGUUCUUUGUCCCACAUCGAGUGAUCAAAAGAAACAAAUAUGCCUGGUCUGGGUUUAAAAGCAGAGCUGCAACACGAAGCUAGGCAUACCUUUCUCGGCCUUUUGGCUAAGAUCAAGUGUAGUAUCUGUUCUUAUCAGUUUAAUAUCUGAUAUGUGGAUCAUCGAUCCACACGAUAUUAAAUUAAUUUUUUAAGGGGAGGGCUCAUUGCGGUAGCUUGCUACUGCGAGCCCUGAGCGUCGCCCAUGCGUUGCACUACAGCACGAGCCUGGCGCACCCCGCACCAACUCUUAUGUUUCAAAUUUAGGACAGGACAACGAAAUUCAGAAUUUGGAUGAUGGAUUUUGAGUUCAAACAAUGUAGAAAAACUGACGUUUAAUCCGUAACCAUGACUGCCGAGAUCGUGUUUACUUUCAGGAUGGAAAUCACUGACUGUCAGUCUCCACCAAAGAUUCUUUCAGAAUAAGAAACAGUUUAAUCUACUUUACGGAUGACGAUUCUGGGGAAUCAAUUUACAACAAUCCCUCUUUUGGUGGUCAUGAUAAGGGUUGUCUCCCGGGGCACCAAUAUUUUGAUGAUCAUCAUCAUAGAUUGAAGAUUGAACCACUUCCCUUCUGGGUCGUUCCUAAUCCGUGGUAGCUAGACUUCUGAGUUUUGCAUUCAGCGUUGAGCUGGAACUUUGUGUUCAACCGUACGAUAAUCUUUGUGCGACUUCAAACACAAUUAGUGAUCAAAUGAACACAAUUGGUUUCAUAACACCUUUCAAAUAAAAAGCGAUUGAUGUGUUAUUUUUUGGGUCACUUGAGUAGAGUUCUUGCGAAGAAUUAUUUUUAACUAAAUGAGGAAAAGACAAUCUCUAGAUGCGUCAAUCGUAUACAAUAUACACACUUUUUAGCUUAUAAUAAAGAAAUUGUGCAUAGAGUUUUAAGGCGUGAAACCUUUGACUACUUAGUCUUAAUGGCUGCAUAAUUGACUAAGCACAUUAUAUACCCCGUCCAUUUUUUU